rnacentral:rRNA from 1 species
UUCCGGUUGAUCCUGCCGGAGGUUACCGCUCUGGGAGUCGGACUAAGCCAUGCUAGCGGAGGGCAGUUUGGCUGCCCCGCGAAUAGCUCAGUAACACGUGGUCAAUCUACCCUUGGGACUGGGAUAACCCCGGGAAACUGGGGAUAAUCCCAGAUAGGCGGGAGUUCUGGAAUGUCUCUCGCUGAAAAGUUCUGGCGCCCAAGGACGAGACUGCGGCCGAUUAGGUAGUUGGUGUGAUAAAGGCUCACCAAGCCGAAGAUGGGUACGGGCCCUGAGAGGGGGGGCCCGGAGAUGGGAACUGAGACAAGGUCCCAGGCCCUACGGGGCGCAGCAGGUGCGAAAAUUCCGCAAUGCGUAAACGCGCGACGGAGUGACUCCCAGUGCCGAUGGUCUACCGACCGUCGGCUUUUCCAGAACGUAAAAAGUUCCGGGUAAUAAGGGCCGGGUAAGACUGGUGCCAGCCGCCGCGGUAACACCAGCGGCCCAAGUGGUAACCGCUUUUAUUGGGCCUAAAGCGUCCGUAGCCGGACUGGCAAGUCCUCUGUGAAAUCGGGCGGCUUAACCGCUCGGCUUGCAGGGGAAACUGUUAGUCUUGGGGCUGGCAAGCGCCGAGGGUACUCCAGGGGUAGCGGUGAAAUGCUAUAAUCCCUGGGGGACCGCCGGUGGCGAAAGCGCUCGGCGGGGCCAGACCCGACGGUGAGGGACGAAGGCCAGGGGAGCGAACCGGAUUAGAUACCCGGGUAGUCCUGGCUGCAAAGGAUGUGGGCUAGGUGCCGGAAGUUCCUCGAGAGCUUUCGGUGCCGAAGGAAAGCCGUUAAGCUCACCGCCCGGGGAGUACGGCCGCAAGGCUGAAACUUAAAGGAAUUGGCGGGGGAGCACCACAAGGGGUGGAGCCUGCGGUUUAAUUGGAUUCAACGCCGGA